rnacentral:rRNA from 1 species
GAUGAACGCUAGCGAUAGGCUUAACACAUGCAAGUCGAGGGCAGCACGGUGUAGCAAUACACUGGUGGCGACCGGCGUACGGUGCGUAACACGUAUGCAACCUACCCGCUAGUUGGGGACUAACCCGGCGAAAGUCGGACUAAUAUCCCAUAUUAUUCUUACCGGGCAUCCGGUGAGUCUGAAAGAUUUAUCGAUUGCGGAUGGGCAUGCGGAUGAUUAACUAGUAGGUGGGGUAACGGCUCACCUAGGCGACGAUCAUUAGGGGUUCUGAGAGGAAGGUCCCCCACACUGGAACUGAGACACGGUCCAGACUCCUACGGGAGGCAGCAGUGAGGAAUAUUGGUCAAUGGGCGCUAGCCUGAACCAGCCAAGUCGCGUGAAGGAUGACAGAUCUAUGGUUUGUAAACUUCUUUUGCAGGGGAGUAAAGUGCGACACGUGUGUUGUAUUGCAAGUACCCUGCGAAUAAGCAUCGGCUAACUCCGUG